UACAGGGGGUGCAAACGUUGCUCGGAAUUAUUGGGCGUAAAGCGCGCGUAGGCGGCCACUUAAGUCGGAUGUGAAAGCCCCUGGCUCAACUGGGGAAGUGCACCCGAAACUGAAUGGCUUGAAUGCAAAAGAGGGUCGCGGAAUUCCCGGUGUAGAGGUGAAAUUCGUAGAUAUUCGGAGGAACACCAGUGGCGAAGGCGGCUCACUGGUCCAUUACUGACGCUGAGGUGCGAAAGCGUGGGGAGCAAACAGG
rnacentral:rRNA from 1 species